GUGUGAAAGUUCCAGGUGUUUGAUUAUGUGUCAGGUUACACUGCAGUUAUUUGUCUAAUGAGUACUGUUAGCCUGUCAGUGAGAGCUGUCCACCCUCCACCCACCGCGUAUGGAUCUGCCAUGUCCUCCUGUAUACCUGCACUGUGGGAGGGUGCGGGGGAGGCUGACAGGCACAUGACCAGCUUCCCAUAGUGGCCAAUGUCACGUAACUGAGAAUAAAGGAACAGUAACUGUAAUAGGUGUUUUUGCCCAUGUGUGGGUGUGUCACGCUGCCGACGUGAUGUAAAACUCCACCAGCGUUUUGUGUGUCACGUGUAUGCGUGUGAUAGAUGACAGGCCCAUUAGCUCCCUAGCAGGGUAUUCGUCUUCAUGUGUGUGUUUGCAUGAACCUGUGUGAUCACUGCAGGCUUGCAUGUGUUGUUUCAGUGCGCUGAGUGUCAGGCAGCACCGUCGCAGUGUGGGUGCCCCCGCCUGAGGCCUUGCUUCACAUGCAUUCAUUCUGCGGUGUUUCGAUGCCUGUGACCGGCGCCUUGAGAGGCCUUUGUGGCCUGAGACGGACUUGCCACAUACACCCUGUCUACCAUCACCAAGCAGAGGGGGCUCGCUGGUAGUGCGUGUGGGUUAUUUCCUUCUUGCAGAGAUGUUCUCUGAGGUCUUUGUGAUCUUAUAUGCCCAGCCCCCAACGCCUUUGUUGGUUUCUUGUACGACUUCACAGAAAAGUGAUGCUUUGGCUUUCAUUUCAGUCUGGGCCUAGCCUGCUUCGAGCUCUGCUGAGGGACUGCAUCACUGUCAGUGUGGAAUCGGGCCUUGAUGGAGCAGGUGCCUAUGUGGGGAGGGGGAGCCACUCAAAGCUGUCCUCUCGUGCCCAUAGCUGACCUCUGACCUCAGGAGGCACAGUGUGGGCAGUGUGGAACAUACCACUUCUGAGGACCAGUGAAAGCCUCCUUUGAAUCUUCAGAGGAGGAGGAAGAGGAGGACUCUGUGCUGGAGACCCAUCUUCCUGGCUGUCUGUCACAUUCACGAGUGCUUCUGUAGUUUCCCAGAAUGUAGGUUGUUGUUUAAAUUACUUUUUAUAUCAUCAUCAUCAUCAUCAUCAUCAUCAUCAUCAUCAUCAUCAUCAGCCUCUGGUCAAGGGUCCCAGAAAAGGGGGGGUCGGAUGAUUCCUAAAACAUUUGGAACAUACCGCGUUGACCUGAAUAUAAGACGGGUUUUUUUUCCUCAUCAUCUUAUAUUUGGGAUUUAGGCAAAAAAGAGAAUGAAUGGUGCCAAAUACGAUAUCUUGUAACGAGUGUUUUGCGUUACCAUAAUAUAGAUUUGCCGUGAGAUUUCUUACCUGACUUGGCAGCCCUGGUAAUGUGCGUGUUUAGCGCGUAUCCCUGAGUGUCGUGUAAAUGGCUGCCUUCCCUCACUGUGCAGCUGCUAGAAUUAAGCUGAUUGUGGCUGUUAAUGAAGAUUGUAACAUUCAUUUCUAAAGAGCUGUCACAUCACUUCUGGCUCAGCCCUUCUCUGUAGUACCUUAUUUUUUUACUCGUGGAUCUGCUGCAUUGAAAACGUUCUGCGCCUUUAACAGUUGUGGCGUUUGUAAUAUUUAUUAUUCCCCACCCCCCCUUUAAUGUGUUUGUUUUUUGCAAUGUUUGCAGUGGAAUACAGUGCAUUUGUUAUCUUGGUGCCUGUGAUUGCUUUUUAAGCUGUGGCUGCUGGUUAACUUACUAUAUGUUCUUAAAAUUAUUUUUCUUAAUAAAGCUAAGAUUUGGUA